CAGCUGCUGUGGAGGAGUAUAAAAUUAUGCAUUGGUAGCCACUUGGAGACCGAAAAAAAAAAAAAAAGGAAAAAAGAAAGAAAGAAAAAAAGAGGGGACUGCUUGCCGUUCGAGAAAAACAGACACGCACAUAAGCCAAGAAUAAUUUUGGAAUUAAUCACGUCUCGUCAUUCUUUGUAGGACCAUCCACGUUUGAGCAGUUUCAAAACUCUCUAGCAACACGGUCAGAUGCAACACUGCCACAUGCAUUGUCUGCCUCUCAUAUAGGUUUGUCGUCUUCUAGUUUUUCAAGUAUAUCAUCUUCUUUGUGGGUCUUAGAUUCGGAGGCUUCCUAUCAUAUCUCACCUAAUUUAGACUUCUUUGUUUCAUUAUCUCCCAAGUCUCCUGUGUCAAUUGUAACCACUGAUGGACACACAAUCUCAUAAGGUGAUUGGGACCGGCAAUAGGCAGGGGAGACUUUAUGUUUUGGAUAUGCUUGAAGUACUAGAAAUUGCAGCUUCUAGUGUUGAUUUGUCAUAUUUCCGUUUGAAUCAUUUAUUUUCUACCUUUUAUUUAUGGCAUUCUCAUCUUGGUCAUGUUUUAGUAUCUCGUUUAAAAUUCUUAGUUUCUACUGGGCAUUAGGUCAUUUGAAAAUAGAUGACAUUUCUAAUUGUAGUGGAUGUGUAUUAGCAAAAUUUCUUGCAUUGCCUUUUAAUAAAAAUACCUUUGUUUCUGUUGCUCCUUUUGAUCUCGUUCACUCUGAUAUAUGAAGACCUUCUCCCAUUACCACUAAAGGGGUUCAAGA